rnacentral:miRNA from 14 species
GGAGGGAAAGAGAUGUAGUUCAGUGUAUAGAAUGGUUGCCUAGGGCUGGAGAGAUGGCUCAGCCGUUAAAGGCUAGGCUCACAACCAAAAAUAUA